GUCGUGGAUGGUGCAGUGGUCACCGCACCUGCCUUGUAAGCAGGAGAUCCAGGGUUCGAAUCCCGGUCCAGAACA